rnacentral:rRNA from 1 species
AGGCUACCGCUAUUGGAGUUCGAUUAAGCCAUGCGAGUCGCGAGUCUUAGGGACUCGGCGUACCGCUCAGUAACACGUGGGUAACCUGCCCUAUGCUGGGGGAUAACCUCGGGAAACUGAGAAUAAUACCCCAUAGUUCACCACGCCUGGAACGGUGGGUGGAUGAAAGCUCCGGCGGCAUAGGAUGGGCCUGCGGCGUAUCAGGUUGUAGGGGGUGUAAUGUACCCUCUAGCCAUCUACGCGUACGGGUGUUGGGAGACAUCGCCCGGAGAUGGAUUCUGAGACACGAAUCCAGACCCUACGGGGUGCAGCAGGCGCGAAAACUUGGCAAUGCGAGAAAUCGUGACCAGGGAACUCCAAGUGCAUGGGGUAAGACCUAUGCUUUUCUAGACUCUAAAAAGGUCUUGGAAUAAGAGGUGGGUAAGGAUGGUGCCAGCCGCCGCGGUAAUACCGGCGCCUCAAGUGGUAGUCGCUUUUAUUGGGCCUAAAACGUCCGUAGCCGGUCUGAUACAUUCGUGGGUAAAUCAACCAGCUUAACUGGUUGAAUUCUGCGAGGACGGUCAGACUUGGGACCGGGAGAGGUGUGGGGUACGCUCAGGGUAGGGGUAAAAUCCUGUCAUCCUGAGCGGACCACCUGUUGCGAAGGCGCCACACUAGAACGGAUCCGACGGUCAGGGACGAAGCCUAGGGGCACGAACCGGAUUAGAUACCCGGGUAGUCCUAGGUGUAAACGCUGUGGACUUGAUGUUGGGGGUGCUCCGAGCACUCUCAGUGUCGAAGCGAAGGCGAUAAGUCCACUGCCUGGGAAGUACGGUCGCAAGGCUGAAACUUAAAGGAAUUGGCGGGGGAGCACCGCAACCUGAGGAUUGUGCGGUUU